AUUGAACGCUGGCGGCAGGCUUAACACAUGCAAGUCGAGCGGGGUGAUGGUGCUUGCACUAUCACUUAGCGGCGGACGGGUGAGUAAUGCUUAGGAAUCUGCCUAUUAGUGGGGGACGACAUCUCGAAAGGGAUGCUAAUACCGCAUACGUCCUACGGGAGAAAGCAGGGGAUCACUUGUGACCUUGCGCUAAUAGAUGAGCCUAAGUCGGAUUAGCUAGUUGGUGGGGUAAAGGCCUACCAAGGCGACGAUCUGUAGCGGGUCUGAGAGGAUGAUCCGCCACACUGGGACUGAGACACGGCCCAGACGCCUACGGGAGGCAGCAGUGGGGAAUAUUGGACAAUGGGGGGAACCCUGAUCCAGCCAUGCCGCGUGUGUGAAGAAGGCCUUAUGGUUGUAAAGCACUUUAAGCGAGGAGGAGGCUCUUUUGGUUAAUACCCGAGAUGAGUGGACGUUACUCGCAGAAUAAGCACCGGCUAACUCUGUGCCAGCAGCCGCAGUAACAC
rnacentral:rRNA from 1 species